rnacentral:rRNA from 1 species
GAUGAACGCUGCCAGAAUGCUUAACACAUGCAAGUCUACUUGAAUUUGGGUUUUUUAACUUAGAUUUGGGUGGCGGACGGGUGAGUAACGCGUAAAGAACUUGCCUCACAGUUAGGGACAACAUUUGGAAACGAAUGCUAAUACCUGAUAUUAUGAAUAUAUGGCAUCAUAUAAUUAUGAAAGCUAUAAGCGCUGUGAGAGAGCUUUGCGUCCCAUUAGCUAGUUGGAGAGGUAACGGCUCACCAAGGCGAUGAUGGGUAGCCGGCCUGAGAGGGUGAACGGCCACAAGGGGACUGAGACACGGCCCGUACUCCUACGGGAGGCAGCAGUGGGGAAUAUUGGACAAUGGACCAAGAGUCUGAUCCAGCAAUUCUGUGUGCACGAUGACGUUUUUCGGAAUGUAAAGUGCUUUCAGUUGGGAAGAAAAAAAUGACGGUACCAACAGAAGAAGUGACGGCUAAAUACGUG